rnacentral:SRP_RNA from 1 species
GACGGGCGCGGUGGCACGUGCCUGUAAUCCCAGCUACUCGGGAGGCUGAGGUGGGAGGAUCGCUUGAGCCCAGGAGUUCUGGGCUGUAGUGCACUAUGCCAGUCGGGUGUCCUCACUAAGCUCGGCAUCAAUAUAGUGACCUUCUGGGAGUGGGGAACCACCAGGUUGCCUAAGGAGGGGUGAACCAGCCCAGGUCGGAAAUGGAGCAGGUCAAAACUCCCAUACUGAUCAGUAGUGGGAUCGUGCCUGUGAAUAGCCACUGCACUCCAGCCUGGGCAACAUUAAAUAAUACAAAAUUUCU